CGAGUUCAGGCAAGAAUGAUCAAAGCUCCCUCAUAAAGGAAAUGAAUUCUAUUAAAACCCUUAAUCAUUUUAAUUACCUCUAAAUCGGUAUUAAGUCAAUCUUGCGUGCAGUCAUGGAGAUGUCUAAAUUCACGUCAUAGACCACCUAUC